rnacentral:rRNA from 1 species
GCUAAACGCGAAGAACCUUACCCAGGCUUGACAUCCUGCUAAUCACUCCGAAAGGAGAGAGUGCCUUCGGGCCGCAGUGACAGGUGUUGCAUGGCCGUCGUCAGCUCGUGUCGUGAGAUGUUUGGUUAAGUCCAUCAACGAGCGCAACCCUUAUAGUUAGUUGUAUUUCUCUAGCUAGACUGCCCUGGCAACAGGGAGGAAGGAGGGGAUGAUGUCAGGUCAGUAUUACCCUUACGCCUGGGGCUACAAACACGCUACAAUGGCCGGUACAAAGGGCAGCCAACCCGCGAGGGGGAGCAAAUCCCAUCAAAGCCGGUCUCAGUUCGGAUUGCAGGCUGAAACUCGCCUGCAUGAAGCUGGAAUCGCUAGUAAUGGUAGGUCAGCACACUACCGUGAAUACGUUCCCGGGUCUUGUACACACCG